UCUUCUUUGUCUCUCCCUCCCUCCGUGCCUUGCCUCCCACUAUCAUCAUGGAUGGCACAUUGAUAUGCGUAAGCAAGUUACAUUUCACUGGCCUGUUGUAAAGGCUUCUUGCCUAUACUACUGAAUUUCAAAAUUAUCUAUGCACAUACCUAGAAGGGAAGGUAGACAUCAAUAGAUUUCUGUUGGUAAAGUUUCAACCCGCUCUCAUGCUACUUUGCUUUAUAUUAUGCUUGCCAUAUUAUUGUUUAUCGCUGAGCAACUGACGAUUGGACUGAAAGCAGCGCAAUUCUGGGUAACUUUGACCAAGAUAAUGUAUUUUGUUGCAUAAUGUUGGGUUUAAAUACCCUUGCCAGAGAAGUGUAAUGGAGUUCAUCCUUCAAUCAUGAGAUGUGCUGCUGCAUACUUGUUGAGAGUUGCUGCAGUGUACAUACAAUGGAUAACGAAUUAUUAUGAAGAAUUCUCAUAUUGUGUAUAUGAAUCUAGAUCAACCAUCUAUCUCCAAUACCAUGCACCAAUGCUUGGAAUUCACUCAAGUGUCAUACUCGCACUACCAAAUCAGGCUACGAAGACAAGUCUUCGUGCGCACAUAUGACCAUCCCAGUGUUUGGGGUUUACAUACUUGAUUUCUUCUUUUGGUUUAGUGAGGUCUUCAAAAUUGGACAAGAAAUUGAUAGAACCUGAAUUAGGUUCCCGAUCUUUGAAGCAUGUUCACAAGGCCGUGCAAACCUUCUCCUGAAGGUAUACAUUAUAAAAAUAAGGCAUGUGUGUGUGACGGUUCAUUUUGCUUCUAAUAGACACUAUGGCAAACCUUUCUUCUCUUAUCCGUUUCUUAUUACGUGGGGCCCAUUUUGAAUUUUCUUAUUACCCUAAGACAAAGGACAAAUGCAAAACAUGUCAAAUAAUGGCGCGGGAGGGAGCCUUCAGAAGAAAAUAGAUUACUGAAACAGAUAACAGAUAACCGAUAUACACUAUGGCAAUGACGGCAGGAGGUGGUGAUUUAGUUCUGCUUAUUUGUUAGGUACGCCAUUCCAUAGAAAAAUCUUGGACUGAAUUGUCGUAUAUUUCUCUUCUCAUGUCAUUUUUGUUUAGCAGAUGAUAUAUUGUUAAUUGCUCCAUGACUAUUUGGAUCACUGAAAUGGCUACUUACUUCAUCAAUAUGAUUUAUUUGUUGGUCUCAUAUAAUCCCCUUCUCUGUUUCAGCUUUCUUUGGGAGGGAGGGCCUGGUGGAUGUGUGAUCUUUUUGCCGAUGUAGGCUGAGGUU